CUGAAAUGCCACCAAGAGCCUCCGCUCAUUGGCUUCAGUGUGAUUCAAAUUCUGGGGCGCCAGGACUGUAACACAGGGGUUAUCCUGAUGAGACUUCACAUGAGAGAAUUACCUGAGGGCAAAUCUGUGUAGCCAACUUGAUACAAGAAGUCCAUAUGGAGAGAGAAAUAGGACAGGACACAAGCACAGGCCAGCUCCUGAGGAGGCAAGUAAGGAGCAGUGAUGGACAAAGUCAGUACUGGGAAAAGAUGUAAAGAAAUGUAGAAGAAGGAAAAUCAUAUGUGGGAUGAAUUAUUUCAUUAUGGA